rnacentral:rRNA from 1 species
UACGGAGGGUGCAAGCGUUAUCCGGAUUCACUGGGUUUAAAGGGUGCGUAGGCGGACAGGUAAGUCAGUGGUGAAAUCUCCGGGCUUAACCUGGAAACUGCCAUUGAUACUAUAGUUCUUGAAUUUUCUGGAGGUAAGCGGAAUAUGUCAUGUAGCGGUGAAAUGCUUAGAUAUGACAUAGAACACCAAUUGCGAAGGCAGCUUACUACGGGAAUAUUGACACUGAGGCACGAAAGCGUGGGGAUCAAACAGG